UACGUAGGGUGCGAGCGUUAAUCGGAAUUACUGGGCGUAAAGCGUGCGCAGGCGGCGCGUUAAGACAGGUGUGAAAGCCCCGAGCUUAACUUGGGAAUUGCGCUUGUGACUGGCGUGCUGGAGUGUGGCAGAGGGAGGUGGAAUUCCACGUGUAGCAGUGAAAUGCGUAGAUAUGCGGAGGAACACCGAUGGCGAAGGCAAUCCCCUGGACCUGUACUGACGCUCAUGCACGAAAGCGUGGGGGAGCAAACAGG
rnacentral:rRNA from 1 species